UGGGGAAUAUUGGACAAUGGGCGCAAGCCUGAUCCAGCCAUGCCGCGUGAGUGAUGAAGGCCCUAGGGUUGUAAAGCACUUUUGUCCGGAAAGAAAUCCUUGGCUCUAAUACAGUCGGGGGAUGACGGUACCGGAAGAAUAAGCACCGGCUAACUACGUGCCAGCAGCCGCGGUAAUACGUAGGGUGCAAGCGUUAAUCGGAAUUACUGGGCGUAAAGCGUGCGCAGGCGGUUUGCUAAGACCGAUGUGAAAUCCCCGGGCUCAACCUGGGAACUGCAUUGGUGACUGGCAGGCUAGAGUAUGGCAGAGGGGGGUAGAAUUCCACGUGUAGCAGGUGAAAUGCGUAGAGAUGUGGAGGAAUACCGAUGGCGAAGGCAGCCCCCUGGGCCAAUACUGACGCUCAUGCACGAAAGCGUGGGGAGCAAAACAGGAUUAGAUACCCUGGUAGUCCACGCCCUAAACGAUGUCAACUAGUUGUUGGGGAUUCAUUUCCUUAGUAACGUAGCUAACGCGUGAAGUUGACCGCCUGGGGAGUACGGUCGCAA
rnacentral:rRNA from 1 species